AUGAAACUAACGAAAGCAGAGCGGGAAAGCCAGCGUGAAAGCUCUCAUUGAACUUGCUAGGCCGAAGCUAGGCCGCGAGAGACUAAGGAGAGGUGGUCGGACGAUACAUCAAAUAGUAAACUGGUACCGAGAUCCUUCGGAACGCACCUUAACAUUCUGCUACCAAUACUUCAUCGGAUCAGGAAAAAGUUUUACUCACAAUAUAUGACUAAUUAUCCAAGGCGCUACACUCAGUCUCUUUGACAAGAGGAGUUGAACGAGGAAACGGAACAGUGAAGGACUUUGAACGCCAGAAUAUGAUUUUUUUUAGAAGCAAUUGAUUGUUGAGGAGUUGUUGCCGUAGCAAUAGAGGUAUGAAAAAUAUUGCGUGUGUUGUAUCAAGUUUCCUAUAAUAACAGGAUUCAUUAAAAUCCAGUCGUGAAAUAAUUCCUUCACAUUGUCUAUAUUACUUAAGAUAUGAGCAAAGGUCGAAGAUUGGCAGAUUGAUUACUUGUAAGUGU